GAGUCGAGAGCUUUCGGAGCUCGGCAUACUGCUCAGUAACACGUCGCGUCACCUGCCCUAUGCUGGGGGAUAACCUCGGGAAACUGACAACAAUACCCCAUAGUCCACUACGCCUGGAACGGUGAGUGGAUGAAAGCCCCGGCGGCAUAGGAUGGGCCUGCGGCGUAUCAGGUUGUAGGGGGUGUAAUGUACCCUCUAGCCUUCGACGCGUACGGGUUGUGAGAGCAAUAGCCCGGAGAUGGAUUCUGAGACAAGAAUCCAGGUCCUACGGGACGCAGCAGUCGCGAAACCUUGACAAUGCGGGAAACCAUGAUCAGGGGACUCCAAGUGCCAGGAGUAAGAUCCUGCGCUUUUCAUCUCUCUUCAAAGGAUUUGGAAUAAGAGGUGGGUAAGGACGGUGCCAGCCGCCGCGGUAAUACCGGCGCCUCAAGUGGUAGUCGAUUUUAUUGGGCCUAAAACGUCCGUCGCCGGUCUGGUGCAUUCGUGGGUAAAUCAACCCGCUCAACGGGUUGAAUUCUGCGAGCACGGCCAGACUAGGGACCGGGAGAGGUGUAGGGUACGCUCGGGGUAGGGGUAAAAUCCUGUCAUCCCGAGCGGACCACCUGUUGCGAAGGCGCUACACUAGAACGGAUCCGACGGUCAGGGACGAAACCUAGGGGCACGAACCGGAAUAGACACCCGGGGUAGUCCU
rnacentral:rRNA from 1 species